UGGGCUUGACAUUGAUAGAAUCCUAUAGAGAUAUGGGAGUGCCAGUUUACUGGAGCUUGAAAACAGGUGCUGCACGGCUGUCGUCAGCUCGUGUCGUGAGAUGUUGGGUUAAGUCCCGCAACGAGCGCAACCCUCGUCACUAGUUGCUAACGGUUCGGCCGAGCACUCUAGUGAGACUGCCUUCGCAAGGAGGAGGAAGGUGAGGACGACGUCAAGUCAUCAUGGCCCUUACGCCCAGGGCUACACACGUGCUACAAUGGUGUGUACAAAGAGAAGCAAUACCGCGAGGUGGAGCAAAUCUUUAAAACACAUCUCAGUUCGGAUUGUAGUCUGCAACUCGACUACAUGAAGCUGGAAUCGCUAGUAAUCGUAGAUCAGCAAUGCUACGGUGAAUACGUUCCCGGGUC
rnacentral:rRNA from 1 species